UACUGGAAGCACUGUGUUUUCAGAGAGAAACAGACUUAAUAAUUGAAAGAGGGAGAAAGAAAACCAAAUGGAUACCAUCCGACAGCUUUGGAAAAUAACAGAAUCAAUAUAUGAGAGGGGUUGAUUCCCAGUACAGUCUGGUCUGGCAGAACUGGGGAAAAGAAGAAACAUUAUACAUUUCUAUUCCUCACCUUUAAGGUGCUAAAAGGGGAGAAUUCCUGAGCAUGAUCUCCACCCAGAAUGAGAGAAGGCAUUGUUAAAGACAAAAUGACUUCAGAGGAAUAAGAAAAUGGUUCAUCCGAAAUCAUUCCUGUGCUUAGUGGUGAAUCUCUCUGGACUGAAACUGCUAUUGGCUUUCAUGGUUUGUUUUCUGGGAUUGCACUUCUCUCUAAACUGAAGCAAGGUGCUAAGAGGAGGUGGUGGCCAGCAGUGGUUCUGGGGCUGAGUAGUGUCUCUUCCUGCCUGUCUGAUGGUCUUCAAACAAUGACUCAACUCCUACCAGCCUCUGGACAUUCAAUUGACCCUGGAUCCAGCUCAAUGCUCUCCUCCUGGUCUCUCCUGAACUUUGCCAUCUUUUAUUCUAUGUCUCUCUUCCCACCCACUACUCUAGGGAUCUUUGUUUGUGGUAUUGAGGAGAUGCAGAAGGAACUCCUUCCUCUCUUAAAUGAUUCUUGAUAUUUCCCUCAGAGACAUUCACUCAAAGGUAAUAUUUGUGUUUUCCAGGCACACAUAAUCUUCUUAAGUGCCUGGACAUUUGAACACACCAAAGUCCAGUGAUCACUGUUCCCUGCAUCCACCUUGUCAAAAUCUUCCAGAGGCAUAUCCAUGCCUGAUUAUAUGCCUAAAAUUAUCUGUUUCCAUGGGAGGCAGGUAUAAAGGAAAGAAAAGGAUAAAUGGAAAAUAAAAAUAUGUAUAAUUGUACUUUUUAAAUGUCAAUCUGCUACACUACUUCUUGGAAGAAAAAAAAAAUACCCAAUUUUCCUCUUAAAAUAAAAUAGACCCACACUUUGGGGCUGGAGCUGCAACAA